UGUGCUUGUUUGUCUCUCUUGUUGUGUCUCUACUCUGUCUUCUCUAACUCCCAGUCGGUCGAGGCGGAUGACCGUUCAUACUGAGCCUGGUUCUGCUGAAGAGAGAGACCUUGAAGUACUCAUGCUCACUAUGACCUGGCCAUUGGUGUUGCCUUUUGGUGGUUGAACAAAGAUGAAUGUCGGGAUGUGCUUGACACAGACAUUAUUGGAGCCACCAGCAGCUUCAGAAGUCCUCAAUAUCUGAAUCGCUUAGAGCGAGAGGCAUUGAUCCUUUCAUCUUUCGCUGGAAUUAUUAUGAUCAAAAACUGAAAAAAUGGUUGUCUCAGCAGACAAAAGCGAGUACACUACAGAGACCAGUGUCUGCACAAUCCUCCUCUCCAUCUGUGUCCGAGUCCUUUGUCAGUGUGAGUACCUCACUGCUAAGUCCUCUGCUGUCACCUGCUGAUGGAAAUGCUCCCAUUGCUCUCUGCUCUUGCAGGAAAACAGCGAUUGUCACCAGGAAGCAGCUGAUCCCUAUGAGGGCUCACAAGACUCUUUGCAGGAUUGAAGCUGUCAUCCAUCUGUGUGACCUUUGUUAAACAUUUCUUGGGUACCCUUCUCACAAUGGUUUGCUGCGAUUUUGGCUCAUUCCUCCUGACCGAAUUGGUGUAACUGAGUCAGACUUGUAGACCACCUCACUUACACACACCUAUUUAGCUCAGUUCACAAUUUUUCUUUAAGUCUGAAAUUAGGACUUUGUUAUGGCUGCUCCAAAACAUUGACUCUGCUGUCUUCAAACCACUUUAUAACUAAUACCGCUGAACGCUUGGAGAUAUCCAUUUGGAAGAUCCAUUGGUGCUUAAGCUUUAACCUCCUGCCUGAUGCCUUGAGAUGUUUCUUCCAAAUUUCCCCACAAUGGUGUUUUCUCAUGACACCAUCUACGUAUGUGAAGUGCACCAGUCCCUCCUGCAGCAAUCCUCCCUCCGCAACACGAUGCUCCCUCCUCAUACUUCACAUUUCGUAUGUUGUUCUCAGACUAGCAAUCUUCCCCUGUUUUUCCAUCUGAUGCUCAAAGACUGCAAUUGUAGUUAGGUUAGGCCACAGAAAACACAUCAGAAACAUUGGGGCCUUUGUGAAAUGCAUUUAAUUUAAAUAUUGGGGAUGAACCUGUGAGAAGCUUAUUACACAUUACAUCAUUUUAUAUUCCCCAAAUUGCUUCCAGUAGUUGUUUAGUCAGAUUUAAUGUUGGAAAAAUGGCUGUAUUUUUUGAACAGUGAUAUAAGAAAUGUUUUCAGCUUUGUAGCUUUAUGAACAAAACACAGUAUAGUUCAGUGGAAGGAGUAAUAUGACAGGUUUAAACUUAUUUUAAGUGGAAUGAUGAACAAUUUAAAGUCACUUUGUAGGUACUCUUCAUCGCACACUUUGAUGCCUUUUGAAUAAGUGGGAUAUCUUGACAGAGAGACAGACCUUGUCUAAAGGUUUUCACAGUGACACAAAUGUUGUGUUUUGUAGUUUGAAUAGUUUUAUAAUUUUUUACAUGCUGCUUUGAGUAGAGGGUCAGUCUCUGCCUUAGGUGGAAGACUUUAUGUCUCUUGCUGUCCUGUUCGGAAGUGAUGGUAGGAUGGACAAACAUAUAUGGACUUUGUCUGUAGUAAUGUAGGCAAAGCUCCAGUCUGUUGUGAAGAAACAGCUGAGCCACAAAGUAAUGCUCGUCAUGUACCAGUCCGUCUGUGUUCCAGUCCUCACCUAAGGUCGUGAUACAUGAAUCAUGACCAAAAUAUUGAGAUCCUGUUUAAGAGCGGCCCAAAUGGGCUUCCUCCGGGGGAUGGCCUGACUCAACCUUGGAGAUAAGGUAAGGAACUCCGUCAUCUGGAGUGAGCUCAAAGUAGAGCUGCUGCUUCUCUGCUUCAACAGGAGUUAGUUGAAGUUCAAGCAUCUGAACAGGAUACAUCCUGAGCGCCACCCUUUGGAGGUUUUCUAGCCAUGUCCCACUGGGAAGAGAUGUCGGGGAAAACCCAGAACUCAUGAGGAUGUCCGGGUAUCAUCUUGGAUUGGUUACCUGCUCAAUCCGAUCUUGGAUUAGUGGAAGACAAAGGAUAGAUGGAUGUUGAUAUAACUAAACAACUUUCAUAAGUUCAAAAUGUUUUAUAAGUAAAAACAUAAAACCUUUCUUCUUCUCUCUGACAUGCUGGAUGUCUUCUUCUGGGUCCAAUCCUAAUGGUGGCCUGUUCGUGUCUCAGUUUUGAACACAGUCUUUUGGCCUCUAUUUCUUAUCCUGGUUUUAAGAACCGGCCACAGGUUCUCAGGGAGUCUAAAAUUGGAGAGUUUAGAUCCCAUCGGUCCAGAAUGUCAAUGUUCUGAUCUUUGAGCAACUUUGUUUUCAUAUUUGGAUUGUAACACAGGUCAGAAAAAGUUGCUCUUACUUCUGAUCUCAUUGUUUAUUCAUGGCAGUGUUCUUGGGCAGAAUUGUAAACCUAAUCUCUUGGAUGACAAUCAACCCCAAACAUGGAUUUUAUCAGAAUGCUUUACUGUUGGUGACAAAAAAGAUUUGUGUAGCAGUUGGUUUUUCUUCUAGGAAUGAAUGAUUCGCCAGCUGUCCCAGACAGUUAGUCGGAAUAUUCAUCAUCAUUCUCUGCUGACCGUCCUAAUUGCCCUGCAGAAUUUCAGUUUCUCCUUGUCUUCUUUCCUGAAGUAUUCUUAUCUAUGCAUGCAGAUGCACUAAAGCCCAUCUGUUGCCAAUGUUUCACAAGCUGUGCCCCAGUGGUAGCACAAUUCUGUACGCAAUUCCCCAGGGGGUAGAUUUAGCUGGAGCUUGCUGGAUGUCCUUAAGCUUCCUUAUGCAAGCAAACCUCUAACCUCAAAGUUCUUGAUGAUUUAGAUUGUUGAAAUUGUUCUUUCAGCUGCAAAAGGCCUGUUCUUAGCAGUAGUGUCCUUCCAUGUGAGGCCAUGUUGACACAUUCCUAUGGAGGUAACCAUUGGUAACACAAGACAAUAAUUUGAGAAACACCUGCCCCUCUCUGAUAGUCUGGUAAAUGAACUGAUUAAAUUAUUUUAGCAUAACUCUUUCAUAUCACACCUGUGCGGAUCAUGAUUGCAUUGACAUAAAAAUAGCUGAUAAUUUUUGCACCAGACAAAAACACAGCAAAAUAUGUAUAUUUUGUCUCUAUCAAAUUAAUCAUUAUUAGUUAUUAGUGUGUCUGAUAGCUCUGUCAAACUUUUUGGCACUGACAUUAAGAACUGUUGGGCAUCUGUGUUCAUUUAACGAUAAGUUUCUGCACCAUCAUGGGCCACUCCAGUUGUUUAGUAGCUUUCAACAGUUUACAGGAAUGUAAUAAAGAACAAAGUGUUGAGUGGAUCUUUGUGAUAUCAUGUCAUCAAAGUCAGAUUGUUGCUGGAACUUCACCAGGCUGAUCGGUUUUUGUUUACACACAGUGUUUGACAUUCUCCCCAGCAAAGAUUAAUCUCUUCUUGCUGUUGGGUAGGUGCAUAAAAAUGUAGUUUUGUCAUUGAUAUCAAUGAAGAGGCCAGAGUAGGUCAGUUAUUCGCCUGCUAGGACUUUUGUCCUGAUGAUUUAGGGAUUUUGGUUCUAUGGACAGAAUCAAGAUUUUUGGCAGCAAAACCAGUCUAGGAACAGGCUACUUCCAAAGGAAGUAGCCUAUUCCUAGAGGGCUGCCUCAGACAGAGUUCCACAGCUAUGAGGAAAAUGUGUUUCUGCAGUGCUAAACUAUCCUGUUAUUUCUUGUCAACUGCCUAGAAACAUCUGUCUGAGAGUGUUAUGUUUUUAUAAAGUGCUGGUUUGUGUAAAAUGCUUCUAGGAGGUAUUUGCUUGUUUUAGAUCGGAAGGGUCCAUUCAUUUUGCAUCUUCCACCUGCAGACCAGCGAUGGCCCUUACCGCAUCCGCAUCUAUGAGCGGCCCCAACUUCCAAGGUCAAAUGAUGGAGUUCAACGAGGACUGCGAGUCUUUGCAAGAGCACUUCCGCAGCCGCGAUAUCUACUCCUGCAACGUCAUGGAUGGCUACUGGACCCUGUACGAGCAUCCAAACUUCCAUGCAAACGAAAUUUCGUUCUGUACUCAGUCUGUGCAUACAAAAUGACAAAUAAAGUUGUCUAAGUCUAAAUUAAAGCUGUGGUCCUAAAUAUGUUUGAUUUGCUGAAAUAACAAGCACUCUUCGUACUUGCACAAGAAGAGGCUUGAAAUCACUUUCUGUUAGAAACCCCAGAUGAGUUGUCAUUCUAGACUGCGGUGUUAAUCUAGUGAUGUUUUAGAAUUGAUCUAAAAGUUUAUUUAACAGCUGUUUUGCAAGUGUUAGUGUAAUAACUA